GAUGAACGCUGGCGGCGUGCCUAAUACAUGCAAGUCGAGCGAACGGACGAGAAGCUUGCUUUUCUGAUGUUAGCGGCGGACGGGUGAGUAACACGUGGAUAACCUACCUAUAAGACUGGGAUAACUUCGGGAAACCGGAGCUAAUACCGGAUAAUAUUUUGAACCGCAUGGUUCAAAAGUGAAAGACGGUCUUGCUGUCACUUAUAGAUGGAUCCGCGCUGCAUUAGCUAGUUGGUAAGGUAACGGCUUACCAAGGCAACGAUGCAUAGCCGACCUGCGAGGGGGGUCGGCCGCCCUGGAACUUGACCACCGACCAGGCUCCUAAGGGAGGCACCAGUAGGGAAUCUUACGCAAUGGGCGGAAGCCUGACGGAGCAACCGCGCGUGAGUGAUGGAGGUCUUCCGAGCGGAAAACUCUGUUAUUAGGGAAGAACAUAUGUGGAAGGAACCGUGCACAUCUUGACGGUACCUAAUCAGAAAGCCACGGCUAACUACGUG
rnacentral:rRNA from 1 species